CGGCGGACGGGUGAGUAACGCGUGGGUAACCUGCCUCAUACAGGGGGAUAACAGCUAGAAAUGACUGCUAAUACCGCAUAAGACCACAGCACCGCAUGGUGCGGGGGUAAAAACUCCGGUGGUAUGAGAUGGACCCGCGUCUGAUUAGCUAGUUGGUAAGGUAACGGCUUACCAAGGCGACGAUCGGUAGCCGGACUGAGAGGUUGAACGGCCACAUUGGGACUGAGACACGGCCCAG
rnacentral:rRNA from 1 species